CAGCAGCCACGGUAAAACAGAGGGUGCGAGCGUUAAUCGGAUUUACUGGGCGUAAAGCGUGCGUAGGCGGCUUCUUAAGUCGGAUGUGAAAUCCCUGAGCUUAACUUAGGAAUUGCAUUCGAUACUGGGAAGCUAGAGUAUGGGAGAGGAUGGUAGAAUUCCAGGUGUAGCGGUGAAAUGCGUAGAGAUCUGGAGGAAUACCGAUGGCGAAGGCAGCCAUCUGGCCUAAUACUGACGCUGAGGUACGAAAGCAUGGGGAGCAAACAGGAUUAGAUACCCCUGUAGUCCCUGUCUCUUAUAC
rnacentral:rRNA from 1 species